rnacentral:misc_RNA from 1 species
UUAAGUUCAGCGGGUAUCCCUACCUGAUCCGAGGUCAACCAUUAAAAAUUGGGGGUUGUUGGCAAGCAUCCACCAAGACUCAAUCGCGAGGGUUUAAUUACUACGCGUAGAGCUCGAUGGCACCGCCACUGAGUUUAAGGCCCGCCGUUGCCGGCAGGGCCCAAGACAAGCUAAGCUUGAGGGUUGAAAUGACGCUCGAA